CGGAUCCCAUUAGAACUCUGCAAUUAAGCGCGCUCAGGCUAGAGUAGUACUGGGAUGGGUGACCACCCAGGAAGUUCUAGUGUUUUACAUG
rnacentral:rRNA from 1 species